ensembl:lncRNA
UAUGCAUGUGUGUAUAUGUCUGUGUGCAUGAGUGUGUGUGUGUGUCCAGUACUUGAGCUCAGCUACUAAGCUUCACUGUAAUGGUAAACCCUCGCCACUUUUUUUUGUUGCAUGCUGCUGGUGGGUUUAAUCACGUCGUCUCCUCAUAGACCCCCCCCCUCAUGCUUCGUCUCCAGCUUCUCAAACGAAGCUCUGCUUCAGACGCACAGAGCUGUCUGCUUCUGCCUGCCUGCCUGCCUGCCUGCCUGCCUGCCUGCCACUGCUGCGUGUGGCACAGAACAGACCCAAUCUCGACGUUUAAACGACGAUGUCACCGAGAGCUGCACAAAGUACUGCGGAGAGCGUCAUUUGGACAGCUCAGUACACUUGUGUUUGACCUCACCGAAAUGCUCAACAAAAUGCAUCCUGUCCUCCGUAUUGGAUUGCCUUGCGGUGAUUUGUUUUUGUGGCUGGUGUGCAUUUGGGUGGGCAUGUUGCUGUGUGUGGUUAUUCCUGUGUCGACCUUAAGCUGUGUUGUAUGGAAUUGCACGCAAGGCCUGCGGAAGGCUAAAAUGGGUCCUGUUGAGGCUCUGGUUGGGACAGAGGAGUUUCAGGUGACCUUCCCAAGCAGUGAUGUCCCUAAAAAAAGAGCAUCCAACAGGGGCACUGAGGUUUCCUUCUGAAGUAAAUAGCUUACUUACGGAUUUAUGUAUAUAUGCUAAUGUUACAUAUAUUUAUGUUAUAUAUAUAUAUUCUACUGCCAAAUUCAUAAAAAUGUGUGUUAUUUUUUUUUGUCAAACCUUUCCAUCUCCGAAGUUGGCUGUGUUUCGCGAACUCUUAAUGCCAUCUGUAGAUUACGCUACUAAUCUGCAGAAGUGGCUAUUGACAUUUAGCUGGUUGCUGCAUUCCUGACUUUAUAAUGUGCUGUAACAUCUUCUCCCAGGAGCACAUCACAAUAGUGUUUGGCUUCUCGUAGGCCGAAAUCUCUCUAAACUCAAAUUAUAUUAUUAUGUCGGAGACAAAUAAAAAUACAAUAGAGGUGAAGUAUGUUCAAAUCGGCUUUCACAGUGUUUUUGUUUUAGGUUUAUUUUUUAGUAAAGCAAACAAAGGUUAUGUAUCGAUAGAUAAGGAUACAUAGAUUCUAAUAAUUUUGUCAUCCAUGUCCAAAAACAGCAAAUAUAUGUUAAUUCCCAAAAACAAACUGCAGUUGGAGUCCUGAAUCCUGCAUUCAGAUGACAAACCGUUUUAUGCCUUUAGUGUUGUAGAAUUAGGAUGUUGCACAACUAAAUGUGACACCUAAUGGCAACAGUACACUGUGUGUGUGAGUGUGUGUGUGUGUGUGUGUGUGUUCAGGUGUGUGCCAUUGUCUCCAAGAAACAGCUGCAGUGCCGCAUCAGAGCAGAGAGAUGCAUGUGGUACCUAACGGAAUCACACACCCACAACUCAGCAUGUCUCUCUCACACUCUGUGAUAAGGGCUUCAGUUGAUACCUGCAGUAAAAUGCAUGAAUAGAUAAUUGGCAUAAAGAAUUGUGCCUGUGUCUGUUGAGGUGAGGCACAAAGGGGAAAGUACACAGUGUAUGAAGGAGGCUGGGUUUGGGGGAACCAUCUGCAGGAUCCAAGGGGUGUCGUCCAGUGCAUGGUCCUGCCCUAUCUUAAGUGGACAUACUUAGUGGUGGACAGUAGCAGACGUUCAGAGCACACAAUGUAUUUUUGUAGCAGAGAGGCAGUGGCGACAGACUGAACCACGUUAAGAUGAACUGGUGCACUUGGACAGGAGUCGGAGUGUUGUGGCUGUUCAGGUGGAUUUGAUUAACUUGGGGCCCGUCUGUGUUGUCAGGGGUUGAAGGGUUAGUGUGUGUGGGGGGGUAAAAGCUCAUGAAUGGACAGUGUUCUGUGUGCUGUAUUCUCAACACUCGUCGUUAAGGUUUAUCUUUCUAACGAUUUUACCAAGAGCCUAGUGCUGUCGUUCUGGGUGGCCGAGCAGUAGAAGUCAGUCUGCAGUUUUCUGCCACACCCCACUGUAACCUACAGGGCUUACUGUAAAGGCACAUUUUCUUGAUAAAAGGGGGUUUUGACGAAGAAGCAAGCAGACCUUAAUUCUAAAAGCACGACAGACACAAGACACUGAAGGUGAUGAGUGCAUGACAGACAAACAGGCUAAUGAGAAGCAUUUGUGUUGUACAUGCAUGUGUGUGUGUGUGUGUGUGUGUGUGUGUGUGUGUGUGUGUGUGUGUGUGUGUGUGUGUGUGUGUGUGUGUGUGUGUGUGUGUGUGUGUGUGUGUGUGAGAUUUUUCAUUCACCAAUUAAAACAAACGAUAACAUAAGGUCAUUAAGGAAAGAGUUGUUAUGAAAUGCAAAAUGUAAAGGUAUUUGUGAACAAUAAACGACAACAUUAUAAACUUGAUAUUGUUUUCACUCAGUCAUUCCUCUUUGUUACUGAUUUAAAAAAUGAAAGUGUUACAGUGUUACUAUAUAUUAGUUUGUGACCAUGACAACGCAGCACAUGUGUUUGUCCUAAUUGAACUGGUAGUGUAAGGCCGUGCAAGGCUUGACAGUCAGGGAGUUACAUCAGACACUGAUGUAAUGAUCACCUGUAGGUAAGCUGCCGCAGACGUAAACAUCCGCUAAAUAAUUAAAUACAUGUCAAUGUUUAUGUGCAACUGUCAAUCCCGUCUCUCGCAGAGCAGCCAAUGCAUCUCCAUCUCCGUGAUGAUGAUCAUCGUGUCUUUUUUUAAAUUUAAAGCAAAGGCUGAGUGAUGGUAACGCAUGCAAACAAAGGUAAUAUCUAAUUAACAGAGGUGAUCAUUUGUCAGUGUGUGUCAUCAGUCAAGUCUCUACCUGUCCAGUGACUAUUUGCUGAGGGGAGUGAGAUUCUAUUCUAUUUCUGAUUGGGUCUCAGAAUGACACCCCCAAAGUCGUAUGUGCGAAACCUGGAAAUGCCUAGAAAUUGUAAAUUUACAAAUGUAGGUAUCAUAAGCCGCAAGGUAUCAGUAGAUUGAUCAUAUAACCAGACGUUUGGUAAAUACUUCAUUUGUCACUUGAAAAGGAAGAUUUCUUUUCAGACGCACGUUUUGACAAUUUGCCAAAUUAACCUAGAGUGAGCCAUUUUCUUCAGGGUAAACAAGUCAUUUUCUUGGCAUUAUUAAAUGUUUGAAAUAUUUUGUGUUCAUGUAUAUAAGUUUAUUUAUCUGUAGUAAAUCCAUAUUGUUUUACACAUUGAACUAAAUACUACCUAAGACUUAAAUGCUAAAUGCUGUGUUGCAUAGCAAAUUCUACAAUUUAAUAAAAUGUUAAAAUGUCCUUAAUUUCAUUUUGGCUAAAUUAGAUAAAGGUCUUAGUUGUAAAUUGUAUUUUUUUGUUGUUUGUUUUAGAUCUGACAGGAUUUUUCUAUUAGUCAAGGAUCUAGUUCAAGUAGAUUCAUCCAAAAACAAAGACCAGACUACUGGUUGCUUUUCUGGAAUAAAGAAUACAUGUUUUUUUGUUUUUUUCUUCUGCAGUCUAGGAAAUAUCUCAGAAAAUAUCAUGUGUUCAAUCAUGAAAAGGAACUAGCUGAUAUAAAUAAUUUGAAUCAUUGACAAUAAUAGUAGUUAAAAUGACAUAUUAAAAAAACACAACUAUGAGGGCUGUGACUUUCAGAUAUUUUAUCUUGUGCCACUUAAAAUUUGACCUUGAAUGAUAUCCAGAUAUUAGCACAGGAUUUCAGAUCAUUUGCGAACAUUUUAACCUUAUGUGAGGACGUAGGGAUUUUCCAGCAAAGAAAAAUAUAUCGCCCUUUGAGACAACAUUAAUCCAAACAGUAUCUCUUUAAUCAGUCAGUUAUCAUCAGUGCCUAUCCAGUUGAAUCCUGAUGUUUGGUUUUCGUAUUUUUACUGAGGACAAGAGACAUUUUCUCAUUUACUAUUUAUAUAAGAGCAAAUAGCUUGAUCUUUGAUCAUCUCUUUAUAUUCAAAGAGCCAGUAAAUAUAUAACAAAGAUCUCCUUCACCAUCUGGAACUACCUUCAUUCCUCACCACCCUCUUCUUAUAAAAUAUGUGAUGGAACAUGUAUCAACACAUGUCUAAAUUUGAGAUCAUAUUUUGGACCCAAUUAUUCUUACGAUGAACCUCUCCAGAAAUGUGCAAUCUUCACAUCACUUUUUAUCUUUUUUUCUAAAUUAACAAUUAAUAAUGCAAUGUUGAUGAUAAACAGUGUUGAUGAUUAUACAAUAAAUGUGCAAUAUGCAGUGUAUGUUGCCAUAAACAAACAUUUGUCUACACUUAUUUACAUUUAUGUACUACCCUUUUAUUUCCGCAUUAGUUUGCAUUACUUUGAAUUAUAAUAAAAAAAUAAAGAAACAAUUGAUGCUCGAGAGAUACAUUGUUUUGGCAGGUCUAGAAAUUCCAUUUUGACAUCCGAAACUACAUAUUGUGCCUUUAAUGAUCUCAUGUCUUGAUGACACCUACCCAGAGGGUUUAUGGGUUUUUAAGUAAGUCAUACGCUCAACUCUCAGCAGUUUGGGAAUAGAAUCCUACACUAGGCCUGAUUGUUGAAUGCAUCAUUUAGAAAAUCAAGAAAAGGAAGCUAAACUUUUUCUUUGUGACGAGACCGACGAGAACUUGAGGUGUGUUUCAUGUUUAUAAAGUUGGUUAUUCGUUUAUUGUUGGAUGAAAGAAGUCAAUUGUCUCUCCUUUUGUCUUCUAACAAUCUCUUGGUGCCCAGUGUUUCCAGAUGAUGUACCCCGUGCUCACCCUUUAUUAGUCUUAAUUAGCACACAGUGGGAAACUUUAAUAAAAUGAAGUUGAUCAUAACUUUGCAAAUGGAUUAAUGGAUCACUGAUUAAAAAGAUGUCAUUCACUGAUUUUUAUGUUACACAUUUUGGAGAGCAAUUAUACUUUCAGCUCUCACAAUUAUACAUAGUAUUUCUCAAUGUCUGGACCAUAUUGGUAAAGACAUUAUGACAAGAUUAUUAAGAGUUUUGCUGAUCACUAAACAUAUAUUUUAUGAUGGAUUACAGUCAGUAUACAGAAACAGCACUAUACCUGGUGCUUCUGAUUGAUGGAUGUCUAACUUUAACAAUUUGACGUUUAUGUGACCUACUCUGCAAAUGCAUCAACAAGUGUUCAUUGUUUGCAUGGAAUGAAAAACACAAUAAAUAAUUUGUUUUGAUGUCGUUUAUGCCAGAACUUUGUUCUCCACUGAACCGUUUGUAUGCUUUAUAAUUAUCUAAGAUGCUUAAUUUGAAUUAUAGUUGUUUUCUCAAACAGCAUUAAUUAAAGACUUGACCACUGUAAUCUGGUCUCAUGUUUAAUGAGUAGAACAGCAGAAUCAGUGGUGGAAUAUUAAGAUCACUCUACCCACACGUUGGCUGCUCAUUUGAGUCACUCUCGAAAUUAAAUUAGUCAAAUCUAUCUGUCUUCAGAGGAGGCAAUGCUUUUCUGUUUCUUACUCAUUUAGACAAUCGUCUGUGCCUAUGUCUUAUUUUCCACACAUAAUGACGUGUUUUUAUAAUAACGACUUUCUCUCCAAAGAUCAUCAGAUUUCAGCGUCCUGCUAAGAUCUUUUGUUCUCACUGCGAUGUGUGACAGUUUACUUUCCAGACAUGUCAGCUUCAAAUAGUGCUGUUCGACAUGCUGGGAAAAUAGUGCAAUUUAUAAAUAGACUCACCUUUCUAAAGCUGGGAUAUUCUCUGCACAAGGAAUUUGUUUGUGAGCAUAUUGAGAUGAGGCAGUCAGAGGGGACUAUGGCAAGACAACUACAGUCUUCUGGCCCAAAAGAUAUUAACCACAUCAGUAAAAGGACCAAAAGCUGAACUUUGUCAGAGGAAGAAUACUGGUUUGGCUGCCAACUAUGAAUCCAUUUUUUUGUGUAGACCUUUUUUCCCCAAUUUCUAAGCCUUCUGGGUAAGAUUAACACAGUUAUGGACAUAUGUAAAAUAAAGAUAUUGUGGGAUUGAAUUUUCUUACAUACACAUUCCAUGUGGAAAGUCUGAUUUCAAAUUUAACAUGGGUACAAACAUGCCAGAGUACCUGAACCCUGGACCCCUGGAAACCAUAGCUAUGCAUUUUUGGGAGAUGUUGCCAUCUGAACUGGAAUGUGAAGGUAUAUGAUAAACAAAGGAUCGGUGUCAGGUGGCUGCGCAUUACUGCUCAUAACCAAAUAAGUGAUAUAUACACAGUGAUCCUAUAAAACUAUAAAACAAAUGUCUUUCCUCCAUGGUUCUUUCAUUAUCCAGGUUCUGUUCAUUAAUAAUCGCUCCUGAGAGGUAUUUCUUUCAGUUAGCACUUAAAUUACCUUGCAGUGAAGUAGCACGGGAAAUCCCCUCUAUUGUUACAUGAGAAAGUCACAGGAAACAGAAAAGCAUACACUACAUUAACCGUAGGCAGAGCUCCCUGAAAUGAGAGACGUACUUUUUCAUAAUAGCAGUAAUAGUUUCUAACAUGUGGCUAUAGAACCACAUCUCAUGUUUUUCUCCUCCUGAGAUCUCCUGCAAGCAGUGCAGCUGACAUUAAGGAGAGCCCAGUGGCACUGCCACCUCCACACUGUGGCACUGCCACCUACACACUGUGGCACUGCCACCUCCACACUGUACAUCCCGUCCUCCUCCGCCUCCACUUCUUCAUGAGGACUUGUGAGAGAGCCUGGCAUGGAUGAAGCUGUCAUAUCAGUCAUAUUUCAAAUACUAUAAACUCCAAGUGGGUGAAUGACAUCUAAGCCUAUGACAUUAGUUGCAAGAAUGCCAUGCAAUGUGUACGCCAGCAGUAACCUGUUAAAAGACACACAUAACCAGGAGGAGGGAUAGAUAACCACAAAAGACAAAGUAAAACAAUUAGAAGAGCAUAAUUUUCCCUCCAUGCCAUCGUUUCUCUUCCCUUGAUGCCAUCUCUGUUCUUCUCUAGUCUUCUCCAGUCUGCUUUUCAGGACCUUUCUAAUGGGAUUCAGAUUGAAAUGCAUUUGCAUUCUCAGUGGUUCUCCUCAGCAGAAGAGGAUAAUGGGCUACUAUGAUGGAAGCCAAACUCAUGUCCUGAACCCACUGCAAACCCAAUCUGGCACCUGGCAAACCAUUCUACAAUCGGGUGCCAUUUAUCACAGGCCAAGUACCAACCUUGCAUAGGCAGAUGUUUGUGAUAUCAUGCUGUCUAGAUUUCAAGCUAGGGUCUAUGGUAUCCCAUAUUACAUUUGUGUGAAAUAUGGGACGGUGACAAGGACAAUCUUGUCACCAACUGUGUCUAUUCCUCAGGCCCUAGUGCCACCAACAGGCCAGUUUUAUGCAAGAGGAUGUUGUAAAAGAUGUUAUCAUUUCAUAACUGACUUCCACCACACUUUGUUUUCAAGAUUCUUUUAGAUAACAUACUACUGAAUUUGGCUUACACCCAUGUUUGAUGAUGAUGUUUUUAUUAGUUAAUAUCCUAAUUUAAUAUAAUAUAUAUAAUAUAAAAUGUGUUAAUGUAGGCAUCUCCUUAUAAACAUAUAUACAACAAAGCAAGCCAUUUACUUAUUUUCCUCUUGAAAUAAGUUGAAAUGCGGUGCAACUUAUUCUCAAAUUUGACUAAUGCAGAGUUUAAAAUGUAAUUAUUCCCCUGGAACAAGAAAUGGCAUAAACUGAAGGAUUCUUGGUAAACUAGCUAAUUUAUCACUUCUUGUUUUUAUAUUUCUAAACUGAUAGUUAACCAGUGUCAGGGCAGAUACAUGUUGAACUUUUUGAAAUGUAGUAUUUAGAAUUGCCACAAGUUAAUAUUAGAUGGCUUAAACAGCAGAGACACGUAUGUUGUUUUGUUUUGUUUUAUAGGCCAUGUGUUAACAUUAACUAUUUGUUUUCAUUUUAAAUUAGAAUUUUUUUUCAUGUUUUCAGCUUUUCCUCUUUCUAAUUGUCAAGUUGAAAAGAACAUACCUGCAAAUACCUCACUAUAUUUUGUGGACUCAAACCUUGUUUAUGUCUUUCUGUCUCCUGUCAGUCAUGAAGUACAUGAAGUACUUUUAAGUACAUGAAGUACCCUAAGCAAAGUUCUGCUGCAUGAGAAUUCUUGAAGUCUGUGAAGACUGUGUCUCAUACUCUAACUGUUAGACUUUUUGUAUUUUUUGUAUUUUGAGGUCAAUGAGGUUUGGUAAGAGCAGUAUACACUCUUGUGAUUGGUUACAUUCUUAAUGAGAUACACGUUCGGUAAGAGCAGUAUACACUCUUGUGAUUGGUUACAUUCUUAAUUAGAUACACGUCUAGUCCUUGCUACUGUGAGGUUUCACAUAACUUUGUCAGGUUUUUGUUCAUUUAUUGCAUAGAUCACCAGUGUCUCUUUAUUUUAAAAUUAAAUCUUGUUAAUAGAGAGAUGUAUUAAGGUAAUUUUGAAGACAUUACAGGAUGUUGUGAGUUUUUAUCUUCGUAGUGUUAUGAAUUUGUCAAAGUUAUUUUUGUUGGUAAUUAGUGGUUUCAAUGAAAACACAUAAUUGUACCUAGACCAGAUGUGCAGUCUGUGGUUGCACUUGUCAAGAAUCUUGGUAGAUAUAUUGUAAAAUAUUUAAUUCUGUACAUUUCAGCUUGUCCAUUAUUUGUACUUUCUAAAAUUCUACGUUACUGCCAGACCUCACAUUGUCAUACGGGAAACCAGCAAGUCCAGGCAAUGACACUUCAGCUUCGCUUUCAGCACACAUUGGGUCAUCAAACCUAUGAUUACAUUUUUCAUGGAGAAAUGACUCAGAUUGCUAGCGGAUAACAGUAAUAAGAGCAUAUUAGUUUUAAAGAUGUGAGUUUUAAAUGUGAUAGACUGCAGUGCUGUUCACUUUAAUCUGAGGGUUCACUAAUGUAAAAAUUCUAUAUCUUAUUCUCAUCACAUCGAGCUGUCAGAUUUUCUUCUGACAUUAAAGCACAGACUGGCUGAAAAUGAGAUCAAAAUGGAUUCUAGAGCAUCGUGGUUUUAAGGGUAUCAUUAUAAAUCGGACUGGGGACAUUGCUAGGACACCAAUCUUGGGGAGAUUAUUCGAAAUAAACCGUAGUUUCUAGUAAUAUAAUGUUUGGUCACUAUUGUCCAGACAUUAGGCCAUAUCAGACCAUGGAUGUUUUGUAUUCAAGUUUUGUUGUGAGUUUUUGUUGAACAUUAUGCCACAUUAUGUCAUAUACAUAUGGAUACAAAAGGAACGUUUGUACAAAAGGAAUUUGACCAGCAUCAGUGUACAGAGAAGAUUGUCCCCUUCACAGAUGAUAGACAGAUAUUUUUUACACACAGAAAAUGAUCAAAAGUAAUAAUAUAAAAACUCUCAUUUCUCUAUUUUUCCCAUUGUUCUCCUUUUUACCUUGUAUAAGGGUGUCAUGUGCCACUUUCAACUCCUUACUUUCUCCCUGUCUCAUUCACUGCUUUCUCUUAAAGAGUCUUUAUCUGGAGAUUGUGUCAAAAUGGGUGGGGGGUGGGGGCAAGUCCUGGAAGCCUCCUUUGUUUAUUGAUUUAAGGAGCAGGGUUCCCACACACAGAGAACAAUACCCUGGCCAAGUUGCUUCGCCAUUUGAGAAGCUAGGUCAGUUUCAUACGUUUUUUUUAACACAACUGAAACCCAAUUUUGAAGGUUAUUGUAUCUAAGAAGUUUGAGAAUGUCCAUGCCUAUGGUUGAUAUAGCUGAAGUCAUAAUUGCAUAUUUGCAUUGCAUUUGCGUUGAUUUCUUUCUGCUGAAUUAAAUAAAAUCAGAGAAUCAGUGGCCCAUAUUUAAUGUAUCAAAUGAUGAUGUAAGAAAGCUGUGCACCACGACUUGAAGACAGAAGACUAACACUCCUUUAACGCAGACAGUGUAGGAGAGAGAAAGAGAGAGUGAGAGACAGAGAGGAAAUUGCAGAUGCUAUCAGUCA